rnacentral:lncRNA from 1 species
UUCUUCUCUAAAAAUGAUCACCCUACGAAUCUGAACGAAGCCUGGAUCGCGAUCAAUUUUUUGAUCCAUUCCUUAAUCUUUUUCUUCUCUUCUUUUUUUGCUCUCCUUCUCUUGGUUAUGCAGCAACCAAACUCUGAAAAUCAGCUACCAAGAAGGAUGCCCAAACACCUUUGGGGCAUGGAGAUGGAGGACGCCUAAUACUCUUGGGCAUUGGAACUAGAAGGGAGAAGAGAGGGAGGAAUGGGGAUCUUAUGGGAGGCAUG